rnacentral:rRNA from 1 species
AUGAACGCUAGCUACAGGCUUAACACAUGCAAGUCGAGGGGCAUCAGGAAGAAAGCUUGCUUUCUUUGCUGGCGACCGGCGCACGGGUGAGUAACACGUAUCCAACCUGCCCUUUACUCGGGGAUAGCCUUUCGAAAGAAAGAUUAAUACCCGAUAGUAUAAUGAUUCCGCAUGGUUUCAUUAUUAAAGGAUUCCGGUAAAGGAUGGGGAUGCGUUCCAUUAGGUUGUUGGUGAGGUAACGGCCCACCAAGCCUUCGAUGGAUAGGGGUUCUGAGAGGAAGGUCCCCCACAUUGGAACUGAGACACGGUCCAAACUCCUACGGGAGGCAGCAGUGAGGAAUAUUGGUCAAUGGGCGCUAGCCUGAACCAGCCAAGUAGCGUGAAGGAUGAAGGCUCUAUGGGUCGUAAACUUCUUUUAUAUAAGAAUAAAGUGCAGUAUGUAUACUGUUUUGUAUGUAUUAUAUGAAUGAGGAUCGGCUAACUCCGUGCCAGCAGCCGCAGGAAUACGGAGGAUCCGAGCGUUAUCCGGAUUUAUUGGGUUUAAAGGGAGUGUAGGUGAACUGGUAAGUCAGUUGUGAAAGUUUGCGGCUCAACCGUAAAAUUGCAGUUGAUACUGUCAGUCUUGAGUACAGUAGAGGUGGGCGGAAUUCGUGGUGUAGCGGUGAAAUGCUUAGAUAUCACGAAGAACUCCGAUUGCGAAGGCAGCUCACUGGACUGCAACUGACACUGAUGCUCGAAAGUGUGGGUAUCAAACAGGAUUAGAUACCCUGGUAGUCCACACAGUAAACGAUGAAUACUCGCUGUUUGCGAUAUACAGUAAGCGGCCAAGCGAAAGCAUUAAGUAUUCCACCUGGGGAGUACGCCGGCAACGGUGAAACUCAAAGGAAUUGACGGGGGCCCGCACAAGCGGAGGAACAUGUGGUUUAAUUCGAUGAUACGCGAGGAACCUUACCCGGGCUUAAAUUGCAGUGGAAUGAUGUGGAAACAUGUCAGUGAGCAAUCACCGCUGUGAAGGUGCUGCAUGGUUGUCGUCAGCUCGUGCCGUGAGGUGUCGGCUUAAGUGCCAUAACGAGCGCAACCCUUAUCUUUAGUUACUAACAGGUUAUGCUGAGGACUCUAGAGAGACUGCCGUCGUAAGAUGUGAGGAAGGUGGGGAUGACGUCAAAUCAGCACGGCCCUUACGUCCGGGGCUACACACGUGUUACAAUGGGGGGUACAGAAGGCAGCUAGCGGGUGACCGUAUGCUAAUCCCAAAAUCCUCUCUCAGUUCGGAUCGAAGUCUGCAACCCGACUUCGUGAAGCUGGAUUCGCUAGUAAUCGCGCAUCAGCCACGGCGCGGUGAAUACGUUCCCGGGCCUUGUACACACCGCCCGUCAAGCCAUGGGAGCCGGGGGUACCUGAAGUACGUAACCGCAAGGAUCGUCCUAGGGUAAAACUGGUGACUGGGGCU